UUUAUUCAUUUAUUUAUUUUUAUUUUGAGAGUUUCUUAUUAUCAUUAAUAGGAUAAAUUUUACAUGUCUUUUGAGAGUUUAUUAAAUUACUAAUACUAGUAUAGUAUUAGUAUAGGCAAUAAGACAUCCCUACAAGUAUGAAAAAUGUGAAAGAAUAUAUAAACACUCGUGAUUCAUCGUUCCUCCACGAGUAAACAAUGGUUACACUUAAAUUAUCGUUUAGAUUUUUAAAACCCUCCAAACCGUCAUGAAUAGUGUUUUUUAUUUGAGUGUAAAAGUAAUCAAAUUAAUAAUAAUUAUUGUAGAAGUGUAAGAAAUGUAAAAAAAAAAAAAAAAAAAAAUAUAUAUAUAUAUAUAUAUAUAUAUACACAAUCACUCAUAGUGAUAAGCUUUACAACUUUCGUAAAGGGGUCAACUUCGAAAUCCGACACUAUAAUCCAUAAACCUUAAAUUUGUAUUUAUCCGUCGAUUGUCGUUUAGGCUUUAUUCUUUAUAUUUAAUUUCAUUUUUAAAAUUUUCUUUUUUGAAAACAUGAUCUUCUGGGGGAUGUAGGAAGAUGAACGGUUCGGAUCUUUGAUAUCAUGUCCUGAUAUUUACGGUUAAUUAAAAUAUGAGUCGAUGUUAUAUAGUUUGUAAAGACUUUAUAAACACCAAGCAAUAUUUUCACCAACGGUAAAACUCUGAACAUAAUAUCAAUGAUCCGAACCGUUCAUCUUCCUAUAUCUUCUAAUAGAUCAUGUUUUCAAAAAAGAAAAUCUUAAAAAACAAAUUUGGUGAGAAAAAUGAAGCAUAAAUGUAAACAACAAUUGACGGUUAAAUUUUGAUUUAUGAUUUAUAUGAUUAUAGUGGCACAUUUCAAAGCUAAACUCUUUACGAAAGUUGUAAAGCUUGUCAUUAUGAGCGUUUAUAUAUUUUUUCUAUAUUUUUCACACUUCUACAUUAAUUAAAAAACUAUUAAAGACUUUACUUAAACAAUAGCUAUAUGAUAAAUGAGAAGAUAGUGCUAAAGUAGAAAGCCUCACUAAAAAUAUCAUCAAUAUAACUCUUAUAGAUAAUAUAUCAAGCCAAAGUUCCAAUACCGUUUCCCAUGGCGAUUGAUGAAAAUUGAAGAGUUUGAUUGUAAGAAAAUGUGCAAGGUUCCAAACCUUGAAACAUAACUCUCUUAAUUUUGCAAAUCUUUUGAACAUUUGAUAUUUUGUAAUGUUCUAAUGUUUUUUUUAUGCUCUUAUUUUGGGUAUGUAACUAUGUAAUACUUGAAAGACAAAUGCGUUUUUAUGUUUUGAAUGUGAUAAUAUGGUAUGUAUAUACUUAUUUAGUAUUAUGUUUUUCAUUUGAUUAU
rnacentral:lncRNA from 1 species